rnacentral:lncRNA from 1 species
CCCAGAGUCUCUCUCUGAUCAACUAAACUUUCUCUAAGGCAUCGAAUACUAAGUUAGGACCUAUGACUGAGGCCUCACUAACUUUAAACCAACCAAUCAGAGAUCUAUAUCUCCUACCAUAGAGAGCUUCAAAUGAAUCCAUCUGAAUACUAGAAUGAUAGCUAUUGUUGUAUCCAAACUCAAUCAAAGACAAGUGGUCGUCCUUACUUCCCUUGAAUUCAAUUGCACACGCCC